GGUCCCAUCGUCUAGAGGUCUAGGACACCGCCCUUUCAAGGCGGCGGCACGGGUUCAAAUCCCGUUGGGACCGCCA
rnacentral:tRNA from 2 species